rnacentral:rRNA from 1 species
UACAGAGGUCUCAAGCGUUGUUCGGAUUCAUUGGGCGUAAAGGGUGCGUAGGUGGCGCUGUAAGUCAGGUGUGAAAUUUCGGAGCUUAACUCCGAAACUGCAUUUGAUACUGCGGUGCUCGAGGACUGGAGAGGAGACUGGAAUUUACGGUGUAGCAGUGAAAUGCGUAGAGAUCGUAAGGAAGACCAGUGGCGAAGGCGGGUCUCUGGAACGUUUCUGACACUGAGGCUCGAAAGCGUGGGGAGCAAACAGG